UCAAGAUCUAUGAUUUAUGUCGGUAAUCGCCGCUACAACACCACUGUCGAAAGACUAGGCUAAAUCAACGAAUUCCGAUGAGUGACGAUGCAGAUCGGCGAGCGAUAAUGUAGAUCUACAAGCAUCAACUGGCAAGUUCAGAUCUAUGAGUUAGGUGAUCGACAAGGAUCCGCAACAAUCGCCUCCUUCCAGAUAUGUUUCAUGUCCGAUCUCUUCCAGCCACUUUGUUCAUCUUCGAUCUCCUCCAUCUCAGAUCACCACCUCCCUGCUACUCUACCACUGGUGCUCUACAUAUCUUAUUGAAAUUGAAGAUUAAUAAACAUCAAUAAUGUUGUAUACAAUCAAAUUCUACAACUGCAAAAAUCCAAAAACUACCUUUGAGUUGCCAUUAUCCAUUGACCUCCGACGCCUUGUUAUUGGAGCAGGUGUUCCUUUCUAUUUUCUUUUCUGGCCACUCACUACUAAUUUUUCGUCUGAGAAGAAGCAACUUCAAGCUUGUUUGCUACAGGAGAGGAAGUGCUUUUGAUAAAAGUACAACGAUCUCGAUUUUAGAGAGACAUUAAAGGUAAUCAUCCACUGUUAACUUUUAUUGUUUUCUAUAAAAUUGUCACUAUGACUACACAUUGUCUGCUAUGCAAGAAUAAGUUUUAUAUAUAUAUAUAUAUAUUUAUAUAUAUAUAUAUAUUUAUAUUUACUGUAGUCUAGUACUCUAGUCCCUGGACUAUUAUCAUAUUAGCCUUAUUUAUGUUUAUAAAAAUAUAAUAUGGGAUUUGACUUCAUAUUACUUUGAGUAAAUUACUGAAAUCUUUUCUGGGUUUGGCGAGAAUUGCACGUUUACUCUCUAAUUUUUUUUUUUGCACUCAGAUCGUCCUUGUGGUUUGAUUUUGUUGCGUUUUUCGUCCCUAUGGUUUGGUAAAAAUUGCAUGUUUGGUCUUUAACUUUAUGUAUGUAAGGGACGAAAAAUGCAACAAAAUCAAACCAUAGGGACGAAAAACGCAACAAAAUCAAACCAUAGGAACGAUCCGAAUGCAAAAGAAAGUUACGGACCAAAUGUACAACUUUGACCAAACCACAAGGGACGAUUUCAAUAAUUUACACUAUUACUUUUCUUCUUUUGUAUUACUUUUAGCUUUUGGUAUGUUUCACAACUUUUUUGUUUCUAAGAAUUUAGCUAAAUCUUAAAAUUUUAAAUUAUUAAUUAUAUAUGUUUUGUGUUUGAUUUUUUUAAUAAUAUAUCAAUCCAUUAUAAUUAAAGCCAUUUUAUUCUAAAAAUCUUGCUACCGUCUUUGAUAUCUAUGAUAAAAAAUAGUUUUGUUUCAAUCGUUUUAUUUUUUGUUAAGGUGUGAAUUUAAUGUCUUGAUAUCUCAUUUAUUGUAUGUUUCUGUUAAUCUUAUUUUAACUUCUAUUAAGUUGUGAAACAAUAUUCAUUUACUUAUUUGUUAUAAUAUUUGUAUAAAAUAGUAUUCAAACUUUAUGUUUUAUGGUUGUUAUUUUGUGAACUUAAUUUAUAAUGUGUGUUGUUAUGUUAGUUUCUUUUCUUCAAUUUAGUUUUUUUUUAAGUUGUGAAUUGUGAUGUUUUAAUUUUUCAAUUACUGUCUAGUUAUGUUUAUGUUAGUUUUUAACCGUGACCGAGUAAAUUAAUACUCCUUCCAUCCCAAAAUUAUAGUCCAUCUUUCAUUUUUGGUGUGUCCCAAAAUAAUAGUCCAUUUUUAAAAAUAAAUAAUAUUUUUACCAAAAUACCUCCUCAUUAUUAUUUAAAAAACUAAGCAUUUAAUGGAACAUUAAAUACAAAGUAAGGACAAAACUAUCAUUUUAUUAUAUAAAGUUAGUGGUAAUUAAUAUUUUUCUUAAUAUAUGUGUUUUUUGUUUGUGGACAAUAAUAUUAGAACGGAGGGAGUAUGUUUUAAGUUGUGAAUACUAUAAAUGAGAAUCCUAAACUAUUUUUAUUAAACUGUGAAUGAAAGUCCUGAAAUUUUUUAUUAAACUGUGAAUUUGUGUGGUACACAUAAAAUAUUUAAUGAAAUACUUCCACAAAAUCAAUUAUAUUUUUAAGUUGUAGUGCUAUGAAUGAGAGUUUUAAAAUGUUUUUUUUAUUAAACUGUGAAUUACAGUCUUAAAAUGUAAGUUUUAAUUUAAGAAAAUGCUCGUGAAUAUAUAUUUUUUGUGUAUUAAACUUUGAAAUCAUUAUAUUAAGCUGUGAUUUUUUUGUAUUAAACUUUUGAUUGUAUUAAGUUGUGGUACACAUAAAAUAUUUAAUGAAAUACUUCCCUUUUGUUGCCUCGACCACCGAUCAAAACCAUUUACAGAUCUGGAAAAAUCGAUGCCACCGACCGCCGAUGUCGAUCUUGUACACCUCCAAAUCUAUGAUGUGUGUUUCAUCUCCGAUUGUUGACCUCGCUAGAACACCAAAAAACGUUGCCUUCCUCCUUCCUCUUUGAUCUCCGAUGCUUUAACACCAACAACCACCUUUCUUCAGAUCUACAACUCCGGUGAGUGCCAAAUUGUUGAUGCCUUUCCUUCGCUGCAUCGAUGAACAUCUGUUGUCGACAACAUCAAAACAUCUUGAAAUCUGUAAUAACGGAUGCCAGCUACCGUCGAUGUCGGCUUUCUACACCUGUAAAUCUGUAAUGUGUGCUUCGUCACUGACCACUAACCUCGCUAGAGCACCAUAAAACGUUGCCUUCCUCCAUGAUCUUUGAUUUACUACUUCGAUGCUCUAACUCAAACCAGGUAAGAUGACUUCAAAUUUGAUUUUAUUCUUUAAGUUUUUAUGAUCUAAUACAAAUUUAAUACAAAACAUUUAGAUUAGUUAUCAUUUUAUUUAUAUAUGUAGAUGUUAUUUAUUUGAAGUUUGGAAAAGAAGCAUUAUGUAUAAAUACGAUUUUCUAUCAUUUUGAAUAAAGUAUUUUUGGUGCAGACAAAGUGUUUGAUGAAAUGUCUUAACGAAAUUCGCAAAGUUAUUAAGCUGUGAACUUCUAAAAAUAAAUAACAUUUUUACCAAAAUAUCCUCUCAUUAUUAGUUAACCAACUAAGCAUUUAAUGGAACAUUAAAUGCAAAGUAAGGACAAAAUUUUCAUUUUAUUAUAUAAAGUUAGUGGUAAUUAAUGCUUUUCUUAAUCUGUAUGUUUUUUGUCUGUGGACAAUAAUAUUGGGACGGAGGGAGUAUUAAAUUAAGCGGUAGAAACAAUGCAAAC
rnacentral:lncRNA from 1 species